GAAUUGUUCGCAAUGGGCGCAAGCCUGACGACGCAGCGCCGCGUGGAGGAUGAAGGUCUUCGGAUUGUAAACUCCUGUUGCCCGGGAAGAACGGCCCCGACCUAACACGUCGGGGUUUGACGGUACCGGGGGAGGAAGCCCCGGCUAACUCCGGGCCAGCAGCCGCGGUAAUACAGAGGGGGCAAGCGUUGUUCGGACUUACUGGGCGUAAAGGGCGCGUAGGCGGCCUCCUAAGUCGGACGUGAAAUCCCCGAGCUCAACUCGGGAACUGCGUCCGAUACUGGUUGGCUUGAAUCCGGGAGAGGGAUGCGGAAUUCCAGGUGUAGCGGUGAAAUGCGUAGAUAUCUGGAGGAACACCGGUGGCGAAGGCGGCAUCCUGGACCGGCAUUGACGCUGAGGCGCGAAAGCCAGGGGAGCAAACGGG
rnacentral:rRNA from 1 species